UAACUGGAGAGUUUGAUCCUGGCUCAGAACGAACGCUGGCGGCGUGCCUAACACAUGCAAGUCGAACGAGAAAGUUUCCUUCGGGAAACCAGUAAAGUGGCGCAAGGGUGAGUAACACGUGAAUAAUCUGCCUACGAAUUCGGGAUAACUCGACGAAAGUUGUGCUAAUACCGGAUAAGACCACACUUCUUAUGGAGCGUGGCCAAAGGAGUCUCAAACUCCGUUUGUAGAUGAGUUCGCGGACCAUUAGCUUGUUGGCGGGAUAACAGCCCACCAAGGCGACGAUGGUUAGCCGGCCUGAGAGGGUGAACGGUCACACUGGAACUGAGACACGGU
rnacentral:rRNA from 1 species